rnacentral:rRNA from 1 species
UACGUAGGGGGCGAGCGUUGUCCGGAAUUACUGGGCGUAAAGGGCGCGCAGGCGGCCGUGUAAGUCCGCUGUGAAAGACCGGGGCUCAACCCCGGGGUGUCAGCGGGGACUGCUCGGCUGGAGUCUCGGAGAGGGAGGCGGAAUACCUGGUGUAGCGGUGGAAUGCGUAGAUAUCAGGUGGAACACCGAUGGCGAAGGCAGCCUCCUGGACGGGUACUGACGCUGAGGCGCGAAAGCGUGGGGAGCGAACGGG